rnacentral:lncRNA from 1 species
AUUGAGAGGAGUUUUAUUUCGAUUUUGAUUGCAGAAUGGAAUGGGAAUGGCUCAAUCUAUAUAAAAUUCAAUCUUUACUCUUCUCUAUGAAUUUAAAUUUUCAUUCGAUUUUGGUUCCGACAGUCACGAAUCAAAUACUUUGAAAAAUUUGACCAUUCCGAUUCUGAUUCCAAAUCAUUUUGAUUUUCAUUCCUAUUUUAAUUUUGGAUACGAGACAAACACCCC